rnacentral:tRNA from 1 species
GCAGGCGAUUCAAUGGUAGAAUUCUUUCCUUCCAUGUAGGAGACUGGGGUUUGAUUCCCCGCCAAUGCA